UCUGAAUAGAGAGUCAAAUAGUACGUGAAACUGCCUAGGGGACGCAAACCUGUAGAACCCAAUGUUCCGUGCGGUGCGAUAUUCAGCGGUACGUUGGCCCACGCCGGGUCGGCUGCCGUGCACUUAUCAAGACCGCAGCAACGGACAUCGCGAUCCAUUACAAUACUCCUACUGGCAAUGGCCCCUAGCUCGUGGUUGGCGGCUCCUCAGUACGGGACGCUCGGCGGCUUCCCGGACCAGGUGUCUCCGCGCCUUUCACACCAGAGAGGCGCAGGGCCCGACCGAGCUUGGUGUGUCGCUGGAAGCGUGAUGGAUUGAUACGAGCGGGGAUGAGAGCGCACGGCCUACUAGCCCGAAGGCCCAUCAGCACUUGACCCUCCGAUCGGCGAUGUAGCACAAU
rnacentral:rRNA from 1 species